CCUGGUGAGAAGGGAGAGGAACGGUGAAGACAAGGACAAGGUCAAGACAAGGUCACGACAGGAGGAGAGCAUAAUAGCUGGUACUUACUGUGAGCAGCUUUUUUGACAGUGUUCAUUGUUCAUUAUAGAUAAACAUUUCCUGUAACAAAGAUAUUUAUUCAAAAAGACAGUGUUCAGUUUUUUGUGAUUGUUUUAGGAACCUUUUUUAAUUUAAUACAUGGACGAGGUCUAAAACAUCUCUCUGGACGUUUGCUGUGGUUAAAAAAGAUGCUGUCAACACAAGGGACGAAACUCAUGACUGCAUGUGUAAACGUCUGAGCAGAGAGGCCAAACUGCUGCUGGACAGAAUGAGAAGAGUGUGAAGCUGAGGUGCGACGCGUCAGCCGGAGCUGAGCAGCCUCGCUUCACCAGGACCUUCUCUGCAUCCCUCACACGCUACAGCCACACCUGGAAUGCUAAUAUUCAUAAUACCAAAAAUAAAGCUGCCUAUCCUCUCAGCUCAUCUAAAGUGACCCUCACAUUCAGAUAGGACUGACUCCACCCUGAUGACCCUGAUGAGCGCAAACACUUCUGUUCUUCACUGAGGCCCACUGGGAACGUCACAGGUGGACCAGCGUGACGGCUGUGCCCAAAUGUUCCGAAGUGGGAGAUGAGCCCGAAGGUGGAGAUGUGAGCGCGGACCAGAAAUAAAAUGACCGAAAUUACUUUUCUUUGCGGAGCGUCUAAGCCGAGCUGGAGAGGCAGCAGGAUGAGAGCAGAUAUCUGGGAAGACGCAGAGACUUCGUGCUGGAGCCGAGCCAUGUUGUAUUUGCUAUGAAGGUAAAGUUGUUGAAAGUGAUGACCUUUAUUUGUAGAGUGAGUUUAAUUGAAUUUUGUUGCUAUUCUGAUUCAUUAAAGUUUAUACAGUGGCCAGUCA